GCUCAGAUAGUUUAAUAAAAAUGCUGGUUUGUGAGACCAGAGAUGCUAAUAUAUAAGUUUUGAGCA
rnacentral:tRNA from 1 species